rnacentral:rRNA from 1 species
UACGAAGGGUGCAAGCGUUACUCGGAAUUACUGGGCGUAAAGCGUGCGUAGGUGGUUUGUUAAGUCUGAUGUGAAAGCCCUGGGCUCAACCUGGGAAUUGCAUUGGAUACUGGCAGGCUAGAGUGCGGUAGAGGGUAGUGGAAUUCCCGGUGUAGCAGUGAAAUGCGUAGAGAUCGGGAGGAACAUCUGUGGCGAAGGCGGGUCUCUGGGCCGAUACUGACGCUGAGGAGCGAAAGCGUGGGGAGCGAACAGG